GGGCUUGUUUCGGCACCGCAUAUACUAAAAUUGGAACGAUACAGAGAUUAGCAUGGCCCCUGCACAAGGAUGACAUGCAAAUUUGUGAAGUGUUCCAUAUUUUU
ensembl:snRNA U6 U6 spliceosomal RNA